rnacentral:rRNA from 1 species
CCCUUGUCUUUAGUUGCUACGAAAGGGCACUCUAGAGAGACUGCCGGUGACAAACCGGAGGAAGGUGGGGAUGACGUCAAGUCCUCAUGGCCCUUAUGGGUAGGGCUUCACACGUCAUACAAUGGUGCGUACAGAGGGUUGCCAACCCGCGAGGGGGAGCCAAUCCCAGAAAACGCAUCGUAGUCCGGAUCGUAGUCUGCAACUCGACUACGUGAAGCUGGAAUCGCUAGUAAUCGCGGAUCAGCAUGCCGCGGUGAAUACGUUCCCGGGUCUU